rnacentral:rRNA from 1 species
GCAGAUGAAUUACGGUGAAAGCCGUAAGCCGCAAGGCAUCUGUGAAGGUGCUGCAUGGUUGUCGUCAGCUCGUGCCGUGAGGUGUCGGCUUAAGUGCCAUAACGAGCGCAACCCUUGUUGUCAGUUACUAACAGGUCAUGCUGAGGACUCUGACAAGACUGCCAUCGUAAGAUGUGAGGAAGGUGGGGAUGACGUCAAAUCAGCACGGCCCUUACGUCCGGGGCUACACACGUGUUACAAUGGGGGGUACAGAGGGCCGCUACCACGCGAGUGGAUGCCAAUCCCAAAAACCUCUCUCAGCUCGGACUGGAGUCUGCAACCCGACUCCACGAAGCUGGAUUCGCUAGUAAUCGCGCAUCAGCCACGGCGCGGUGAAUACGUUCCCGGGCCUUGUACACACCGCCCGUCAAGCCAUGGGAGCCGGGGGUACCUGAAGUGCGUAACCGCGAGGAGCGCCCUAGGGUAAAACUGGUGACUGGGGCUAAGUCGUAACAAGGUAGCCGUACCGGAAGGU